rnacentral:rRNA from 1 species
UACAGAGGUCUCAAGCGUUGUUCGGAUUCAUUGGGCGUAAAGGGUGCGUAGGCGGCGCGGUAAGUCGGGUGUGAAAUCUCGGGGCUUAACUCCGAAACUGCAUUCGAUACUGCCGUGCUUGAGGACUGGAGAGGAGACUGGAAUUUACGGUGUAGCGGUGAAAUGCGUAGAUAUCGUAAGGAAGACCAGUGGCGAAGGCGGGUCGCUGGACAGUUCCUGACGCUGAG